rnacentral:lncRNA from 1 species
GCCUCGCCUGACUGCCCCUGGACUGGCAGUGCCAGCUCUACCUUGAAUCCCGCUUUGGUAGUCCUUUGGGUGUAACCUGUUUUUUUUGGGUUACUGGACACUUUUUAAUGCGUUUGUCAAAGGACAUAAGCUUAUUUCGUAACUAUAGAGUCUUUUCUUUGGACCCUCAAAUCUUCAGUACUUUUUCUUGUCACAGCAUCUGAGAUCCAGCAGCAUUUUGGGUAGUGAGCCUUUACUGUAGCAAUUACCGCAGGGAAUUAUAAUAUUUGUUUAUUCUUCAUUCCCACCUCCGCCCUUACUCUGCACACUGAAACUUCCGGUCGGUCUGGACUGUUUACCUUUGUACCCGCGGAGGAGCUGCUCUGCCGCUGAGACGCAGUCAGAAGCCAGUAAUAAAUGACAGGGUCUCACUUUGUAGCCCAGGCUGGCCUUGAACUUGCAGCAAUCCUCCUGUCACCCCCGAUGAGAUGGGCUGUUACGGCUAGCAGGAAGGACUAUUGCAGAGCACCAUGCCCCAGUUCCUCAGGUCCAGGAACUCCGGGUACAGCUACACCACCCUUGGUUCUAGGGAGUCUGAAUACAUCUGCGCUGGCACCCUAUCCGAGCACCAUGGCCACACUGACUCUGACCCCAGACUCCUCAAGGCACCAGCUCCUCAGAUAUCCAGCAACUCCCCCAAUGCGUGCCAACCACCUCCUCCUUAAAAAUCUUUGCUCUCCCUUGCUCUGGGUUGACUCCCUUUCAGACUCAGCCCACUUGCCCCCCCUGAGUGAAUAAAUAGCCUUCUUGUUCACACGAAGCCUGCCCAGGUGGUCUCUCCCCUCUCUGUGUGUCUUAACAUACCUCAUGCCUCUUCCUCCUAAGU